rnacentral:rRNA from 1 species
UAAGACGUAGGGGGCGAGCGUUGUCCGGAUUUAUUGGGCGUAAAGAGCUCGUAGGCGGCUCAGAAAGUCGGGUGUGAAACCUCCAGGCUCAACCUGGAGACGCCACCUGAUACUGCUGUGGCUAGAGUCCGGUAGGGGAACACGGAAUACCCGGUGUAGCGGUGAAAUGCUUAGAUAUCGGGUGGAACACCAGUGGCGAAGGCGGUGUUCUGGGCCGGAACUGACGCUGAGGAGCGAAAGCGUGGGUAGCAAACAGGAUUAGAUACCCUGGUAGUCCACGCCGUAAACGUUGGGCACUAGGUGUGGGACCCUAUCGACGGGAUCCGUGCCGUAGCUAACGCAUUAAGUGCCCCGCCUGGGGAGUACGGCCGCAAGGCUA